AACUCAUAUUAUUUAUUGUUUUGUUUUUAUAACAAUGUGAUUUAAAAUUGUUCCAUUUGAUUAAAUCGUUGAUUAUAAGUAAGACCCUCAUAUCAGAUAUAAGAAUACUAAAAAUUAAAUUUUUAUUUUAAAUUAAUUAUUUUGUUGAUAGUUAUAAUCAACAUUAACUGUACUCAUAUUUUACUUACUUAAAUUUUGUUUUACUACGCAUAUUUUAAUAAGAAAAAUAUCUAUCCACUUCAAACCGUUUAAAGAACCAAAGUAAAGAGCCGAAAUCUAUGAGCCGAUUCAGAGUGAAAUGAAAUAACAAGAGACUAACCUAUACCUAUUUACUUCACGAAAAUACAGUAAACAGCCUAAAUCUAUGAGCCGAUCCAGAGUGAAAUGAAAAUACGAGAAACUAACCUAUACCUAUUUACUUCACGAAAAUACAGGU